rnacentral:tRNA from 1 species
AGAGAGGGAUUCGAACCCUCGGUAAACAAAAGCCUACAUAGCAGUUCCAAUGCUACGCCUUGAACCACUCGGCCAUCUCUCCUACAUAAUGAUUAUGGCCCAGAACCCGAGUGAAUCGCGAGUCAUUUAUAUUAGAUUGUUGGAUAGGUAAAGAUAAUUUUGUUUUUGUGAAAAACUCUUUGUUAAAAAUAAUAAAGAUAUAUAUUUAUUCGUGUUUGUGAAGACAGCCCUUCCGUCUUUUUUUGAUAUCUAUACCGGCUUAAAUCAUUAGAUUGGAACGACUCGAAUGAUCGGUCUAUCUUUUUUUUUUUUUUUUUUAUUUACUUUUUUUUUUUUUUUGGGUGGAGGUUUGAUAAUGAAACACAAAGUUCCAAGAGACAAUAUUAGCAAGUUCAAAUUUAUAUUGCUGAUGGAUAUUUACAAAACAAGGGCUAAGCAAACAAUCAAAUGAAUGAUGCAUCUCCAAAGCCCAGUAACACAAAAAGGACAUCUUCCUAGAAUCACUGUGAAAACCUCAAAUUUUUUAAACAAUCUGAUCCAAACAUGCCCCGGAUUUUGUGUAGAGCUUAAUGAAUUAUACCAUGAUUUUGAAGAUUGUUGUUGGUGUUUGAUGAUUGAAGUUGCAGAUUGUUAUGCUUUUACCAACCCUUAAAAUUAUUAAAAAAAAAAAAAAAGAUAACUAAAUUUCAAUCAUAGCAGCUAAGUCCUGGCUUAGGUAAGGGAGAUUCAUAUGGUCAACAAGGCCCUAUUGUGAAAAAGGAAAGCCAACAUAAAAUAAAGAAAUCUC